rnacentral:rRNA from 1 species
GACGAAGGGGGCUAGCGUUGCUCGGAAUCACUGGGCGUAAAGGGUGCGUAGGCGGGUCUUUAAGUCAGGGGUGAAAUCCUGGAGCUCAACUCCAGAACUGCCUUUGAUACUGAAGAUCUUGAGUUCGGGAGAGGUGAGUGGAACUGCGAGUGUAGAGGUGAAAUUCGUAGAUAUUCGCAAGAACACCAGUGGCGAAGGCGGCUCACUGGCCCGGUACUGACGCUGAGGUGCGAAAGCCAGGGGAGCAAAGCGGGG